AUGUCAAACAUAGUUGCCAUGGCAAAUUCAUGUCAUGUUUUAGCAUUGUCGACAUACUUAGUUGCCAUGGCAAAUUCAUGUUAUGUUUUAGCAUUGGAGAGAUACUUAGUUGCCAUGUCGUUCACGUCAUGUUUUAGCAUUGGAGACAUACUUAGUUGCCAUGUCAAGUGCAUGUCAUCUUUUAGCAUUGGAGACAUACUUAGUUGGCAUGACAAAUUCAUGUCAUGUUUGUUUUCCAAACAUGGCAAGUUUACAUUUUUUUUCCAUAAUGUUCACAUGCGCAUCCAGUUUAUCUUUUUGGUUUUCAGGGGCGUAUUGUGUUUUGAAUUUGGACCAUAG
rnacentral:rRNA from 1 species